AGAGUUUGAUCCUGGCUCAGAUUGAACGCUGGCGGCAGGCUUAACACAUGCAAGUCGAGCGGAGAUGAGGUGCUUGCACCUUAUCUUAGCGGCGGACGGGUGAGUAAUGCUUAGGAAUCUGCCUAUAGUGGGGGACAACAUUCCGAAAGGAAUGCUAAUACCGCAUACGUCCUACGGGAGAAAGCAGGGGAUCUUCGGACCUUGCGCUAAUAGAUGAGCCUAAGUCGGAUUAGCUAGUUGGUGGGGUAAAGGCCUACCAAGGCGACGAUCUGUAGCGGGUCUGAGAGGAUGAUCCGCCACACUGGGACUGAGACACGGCCCAGACUCCUACGGGAGGCAGCAGUGGGGAAUAUUGGACAAUGGGGGGAACCCUGAUCCAGCCAUGCCGCGUGUGUGAAGAAGGCCUUAUGGUUGUAAAGCACUUUAAGCGAGGAGGAGGCUACUGAGACUAAUACUCUUGGAUAGUGGACGUUACUCGCAGAAUAAGCACCGGCUAACUCUGUGCCAGCAGCCGCGGUAAUACAGAGGGUGCGAGCGUUAAUCGGAUUUACUGGGCGUAAAGCGUGCGUAGGCGGCUUUUUAAGUCGGAUGUGAAAUCCCCGAGCUUAACUUGGGAAUUGCAUUCGAUACUGGGAAGCUAGAGUAUGGGAGAGGAUGGUAGAAUUCCAGGUGUAGCGGUGAAAUGCGUAGAGAUCUGGAGGAAUACCGAUGGCGAAGGCAGCCAUCUGGCCUAAUACUGACGCUGAGGUACGAAAGCAUGGGGAGCAAACAGGAUUAGAUACCCUGGUAGUCCAUGCCGUAAACGAUGUCUACUAGCCGUUGGGGCCUUUGAGGCUUUAGUGGCGCAGCUAACGCGAUAAGUAGACCGCCUGGGGA
rnacentral:rRNA from 1 species